UACGGAGGGUGCGAGCGUUGUCCGGAAUCACUGGGCGUAAAGGGCGCGUAGGCGGCUUCUCAAGCGUGUGGUGAAAGUCCGGGGCUCAACCCCGGAUCGGCCGUGCGGACUGGGGAGCUCGAGUUCUGUAGAGGCGGGUGGAAUUCCGGGUGUAGCGGUGGAAUGCGUAGAGAUCCGGAAGAACACUGGUGGCGAAGGCGGCCCGCUGGGCAGAGACUGAGGCACGAAAGCUGGGGGAGCAAACAGG
rnacentral:rRNA from 1 species